rnacentral:rRNA from 1 species
GACGAACGCUGGCGGCGUGCUUAACACAUGCAAGUCGAGCGGAGCGGCGAACGGGUGAGUAACGCGUGAGUAACUGCCCCCCUCUCUGGGAUAACAGUUGGAAACGGCUGCUAAUACCGGAUAGUGGGGGAUGACUCGCGGCCUAUCAGCUUGUUGGUGGGGUAGUGGCCUACCAAGGCGACGACGGGUCGCCGGCCUGGGAGGGCGACCGGCCACAUUGGGCUGAGGUACGGACCAGACUCCUACGGGGGGCAGCGGUGGGGAGUAUUGCACAGUGGGGGAAACUCUGUGACGGAGACGCCGCGUGCGGAAUGACGGCUUUCGGGUUGUAAACGGCUUUCAGCCAAGACGCGGUAGUGGCAGAAGAAGCACCGGCUAACUACGUGCCAGCAGCCGCGGUAAUAC